rnacentral:rRNA from 1 species
AUGAGGGAGGACAACCUGUACCUUACUCCGGGCUGCAUAACAUCCGUUGCUAAAUUUGAUAUUGAUGCCGUAGUCAAGUCUAUUUUUUCCCUAGUUUUCUUGCACCGUUAUGAGAGUUUCUCCUUGAGCCUCAGAGGCACAUCCAAGGACAUCUGGCUCGGCAAGGGACCGCUGUCGCUAGUCUCUCAGCUCAUCAAUGGCAAGUUCUCUUACUGCCUCUUGUCAUACUUCACCGAUGACAUUGUGAACGCCACGGCCCAUCUGUUUGUUGACUCGUCGGCUAACCUCAACUCCAACAAAAAUGUAACAGUUAUCACAAUGGUGACCCAAUGUAGAAGCCAUAGAUUCAAGGUUCUACGACUGGGCACAUCAAACAUAUUAAUAACUUUGUGA